rnacentral:tRNA from 1 species
GAAAUAGGAAAAUCGGGGGAAAGCUUCUAACUUUUACCCCUAGCAGUGAAAUUCUGUUAAUAUUUCU